rnacentral:rRNA from 1 species
CCUACGGGUGGCUGCAGUGAGGAAUUUUGCACAAUGGGGGAAACCCUGAUGCAGCGACGCCGCGUGUAGGAUGAAAUGGCUUUGCCAUGUAAACUACUGUCGGAUGGGAAGAAAAGUUCGCUUGGCGGACUGGGACUGUACCAUCAAAGGAAGCACCGGCUAACUACGUGCCAGCAGCCGCGGUAAUACGUAGGGUGCAAGCGUUGUCCGGAAUUACUGGGUGUAAAGGGUGCGUAGGCGGAUCUGUGCGUCAGAGGUUAAAUAUCCCGGCUUAACCGGGAAAAUGCCUUUGAAACGGCGGAUCUUGAGUGUGAGAGAGGAAGAUAGAAUUCCUGGUGUAGCGGUGAAAUGCGUAGAUAUCAGGAGGAAUACCGGUGGCGAAGGCGGUCUUCUGGCUCACUACUGACGCUCAUGCACGAAAGCGUGGGGAUCAAACAGGAUUAGAUACCCCUGUAGUC